AAUAUCCAGCUUGAUUCAACUUCUAUUAAGACGGAGAUCACAAUCGACGAGUUACGUCAAAAGUUGGAUUAGGUUAUAUUACGGGUUAUGUUAGAUAAUCGGAUGAUUUGGGUAAUAAGACCAGAGCCUUGAAAUCACAUACAAUAAAAAUUUAUUAGAAAUUUUAUUUGAAAUUGGACAUUUUGUUGGAAAAUUUAAUGGAAUUUUUUUUAUAUUGCAAUUACGAAGCACAAUGAAAGCUUACAUAAUAUUUUAUAAUGAUAUCGCACGAAUAUUGCACGGAUUAUUCUUGGUUUUCUUCCAGAAAUAAGGAAGAGACUAGUAGAGACAUUCAAAGCUAAACAAUCUAUAUAUACAGUACGUGAGUGUCCGAGGUUCACUACUAAACGUUUCACAGUAAAGUUUACAAAAUGAGUUUACAAAAUUUCUAUAUAGGUUUCUAUGUUCAAAAAAUUAUAAGUAAAUCACGGAAGAUCUGUUGUAAUUCGAUAAUGCCUCGCCAAUGCUUGCCAGUGAAAAGACUCUAGCUACUUCUCACAUCCCACACGCACGCUAGGGAGGUAUAAAGGCGGCACAGAUAUCUAAUUAUAUAUCUAAAUUGAAUUUUUUUUAUAAAUCUCUUAAAUAUUCGUUAAAUUGAUGAAUACAAUUCUGAAUUUCAAUGCAUUUGAUGAAAAUAUCUUCUUCUAACUUAGAUAUUUGUUGAUUUUUCGCAAUAGAGAUUAAUUCUUCACAUUGUAUAUUUCCUAUCUGAAUUUGCUUCUUUAAAACUUGGCACUGUACAUUUAAUUGCUUCUUCUCCAUCGAAAGUUGGUUUAAAUAAGCCUCCAUAUUAUUAAAUAAUUCUAAUCCUUUAGAUUCCUUAGUGCGCAAAGAUGUUAAUUUAUGAUGCAGACAUUCAAUUUUUUAAUAAAUUCGAAUUGGAAAACUUGCCAUUCGUAGGAAUGGAACAGUAGGCUCAAACUUCCAGGAUGGAAUUUCAAGCCCUGUUGGAAUGUUACAGGGCUUGGAAUGAAGAUAAAGUUAACAAAGAAGAAAAAUUAUUAAACCAAUAUUUGCAAGAUAUUUUGGGUAUCCAACAGGGUAUCACUGAUGACGAUACAACUCAAGCACA
rnacentral:lncRNA from 13 species